rnacentral:lncRNA from 1 species
AAAAAUAUUACAGUCAUUCCUUAUAAUUUAAUUCUAAAUUCUGUUUAAAACCAAGGUAAAUCAUUAAAAAAAAAUGUUGAUUACGUCACGGUCACAUGACAAAAUUAUGUCUAUUAAAGCUGAUAGACCCAACUUUAUCAGCCAAUCAGAAGAUGUGUUACAUCCAAAAUUAAAUUAUUAUAUUAUGGGUGAAUUAAUGUAUGCAUGUAGAUAUAAAUCUCAAAUUGAUCAGGAGGGCAAGUUAUAAAAUAGAAUAAAUGUACCUUUGUUUUUGUUAUACAUAAAUAGUGUGUUUCUACAUGUCAGAAUCGAGAGCUUAUUAUUUUGUUUAAGCAACAUUUUUAGUUAAUUUUAUUUUAUUGUUAUUAGCUUGUGUGUUAAUCUUUUGAGCUGUGUAUUUUUUAUAUAUACAUAUUUAUGUGUUUUCAUUUUCUUUUUCUUACCAUUUUGCAAGUUAAGUGUACUACAAUUUCUGUAUUUAAUUGUGUACUAUGAUUUCCUGUAUUAGGGCUAUUCCAGAAAAAAAUGUAGGGGGGG